UACGUAGGUGGCGAGCGUUGUCCGGAUUUACUGGGCGUAAAGAGCGCGCAGGCGGUCGUGCAAGUCGGAUGUGAAAGCCCCCGGCUCAACUGGGGAGGGUCAUUCGAUACUGCUCGACUCGAAGGCGGGAGAGGGAAGCGGAAUUCCCGGUGUAGUGGUGAAAUGCGUAGAUAUCGGGAGGAACACCAGUGGCGAAGGCGGCUUCCUGGCCCGUUCUUGACGCUGAGGCGCGAAAGCUAGGGGAGCAAACGGG
rnacentral:rRNA from 1 species